CUGGUCAGGAUGAACGCUAGCGGCAGGCCUAACACAUGCAAGUCGAGGGGCAGCGCGAGGGUAGCAAUACUUUGGCGGCGACCGGCGGAAGGGUGCGUAACGCGUGAGCAACAUGCCCGUAUCUGGGAGAUAACCGAUGGAAACGUCGACUAAUAUCCCAUAACAACAGAAGUGACAUCAUUUUUGUUUGAAAGUUUCGAUGGAUACGGAUUGGCUCGCGUGACAUUAGCUAGACGGCGGGGUAACGGCCCACCGUGGCGACGAUGUCUAGGGGUUCUGAGAGGAAGGUCCCCCACACUGGAACUGAGACACGGUCCAGACUCCUACGGGAGGCAGCAGUGAGGAAUAUUGGACAAUGGGCGGAAGCCUGAUCCAGCCAUGCCGCGUGCAGGAAUAAGGUCCUUAAUGGAUUGUAAACUGCUUUUGUUGUGGAGCAAUAAGGUCUACGCGUAGACUGAUGAGAGUACACAGCGAAUAAGCAUCGGCUAACUCCGUGCCAGCCGCGGC
rnacentral:rRNA from 1 species